rnacentral:rRNA from 1 species
GAUGAACGCUGGCGGCGUGCCUAAUACAUGCAAGUCGAGCGAAUGGAUUAAGAGCUUGCUCUUAUGAAGUUAGCGGCGGACGGGUGAGUAACACGUGGGUAACCUGCCCAUAAGACUGGGAUAACUCCGGGAAACCGGGGCUAAUACCGGAUAACAUUUUGAACCGCAUGGUUCGAAAUUGAAAGGCGGCUUCGGCUGUCACUUAUGGAUGGACCCGCGUCGCAUUAGCUAGUUGGUGAGGUAACGGCUCACCAAGGCAACGAUGCGUAGCCGACCUGAGAGGGUGAUCGGACAAGAUGGGACUGAGACACGGCCCAGAUUCCUACGGGAGGCAGCAGUGGGGAAUCUUCCGCAAUGGACGAAAGUCUGACGGAGCAACGCCGCGUGAGUGAUGAAGGCUUUCGGGUCGUAAAACUCUGUUGUUAGGGAAGAACAAGUGCUAGUUGAAUAAGCUGGCACCUUGACGGUACCUAACCAGAAAGCCACGGCUAACUACGUGCCAGCCGCCGCGGUAA